CCGCCGGCGACCGGCGCACGGGUGAGUAACACGUAUGCAACCUGGCCGUGACAGAUGGAUAACCGGGAGAAAUCCCGCCUAAUACAACAUAAUGCCGGGAGGGGACAUCCCCUGCCGGUCAAAGGGGGCGACCCCGGUCAUGGAUGGGCAUGCGGCGCAUUAGGUAGUUGGUGGGGCAACGGCCCACCAAGCCGACGAUGCGUAGGGGUUCUGAGAGGAAGGUCCCCCGCAUUGGAACUGAGACACGGUCCAAACUCCUACGGAAGGCAGCAG
rnacentral:rRNA from 1 species